rnacentral:piRNA from 1 species
UAGAAACUGGUGCUCUCUAACUGG